rnacentral:lncRNA from 1 species
ACGCCAUCAGAAACUAUUCCCAAGUGACUGGAAUGGGUAGGGUGGCCUGUUUGAGUUGUCACCAGCGACCUGCCUCUCAUACGAACAUGUAGGUGGCGAGUACCACCUUCUGUUCAGAAACCACCCCAAGAGUCGCAAAGGCUUUUUCUGUCUCAGCUAGCCAAUACUCGACGUCUUCGAAAGAGGAUGCCCCUGCAAAGGUUGAUGAG